AGCCAAGCGUUCAUAGCGACGUUG
rnacentral:siRNA from 1 species